GUCCACCCCGUAAACGUUGGGCGCUAGAUGUGGGGACCAUUCCACGGUUUCCGUGUCGUAGCUAACGCAUUAAGCGCCCCGCCUGGGGAGUACGGCCGCAAGGCUAAAACUCAAAGGAAUUGACGGGGCCCGCACAAGCGGCGGAGCAUGCGGAUUAAUUCGAUGCAACGCGAAGAACCUUACCAAGGCUUGACAUAUACGAGAACGGGCCAGAAAUGGUCAAACUCUUUGGGACACUCGUAAAACAGGUGGUGCAUGGUUGUCGU
rnacentral:rRNA from 1 species